rnacentral:misc_RNA from 1 species
CUGAAAAGCAGUGGUUGAGGUUGUCCCUACACCCGCCCUGCUAAGAUUGGAUUGGCAAAUACAUCUGUAUUUAUUCACAACAUCUUGAAUUCAAAAUCAUCAUUAACUAUGUCCGGCAAUUGGAACAAUAGCCGUGGUGGAAACGGCGGUUCCAAAUAUGGUUCCGGCGGUGGAGGCAAAUUUGGCGGUGGGGGUGGCAGCCGUUUCGGCGGCGGCGGAGGCGGUGGUGGUUUCGGAGGCGGCGGCAAGAAGGACUUCAGUGGAGGCCAGAACAUGCGCCGCCCCAACUGGGAGACCAUGACGUUGCAGCCUUUUAAUAAGAACUUCUACAACCCACACCCUUCAGUCCUUAAACGCUCUCCUUAUGAAGUAGAAGAAUAUAGAGGUCAGCACGAAAUCACUGUGAGUGGGCUCGACGUCCCUAACCCCAUCCAACGUUUUGAGGAGGGCAACUUCCCUGACUACGUAAAUAAGGGAAUUAGUGGUAUGGGUUACAAAGAACCGACACCUAUCCAGGCCCAAGGCUGGCCGAUUGCUAUGUCUGGAAAGAACCUGGUGGGUAUUGCCCAAACUGGUUCUGGAAAGACCCUGGCCUACAUUCUGCCUUCCAUUGUGCACAUUAACAAUCAACAGCCCCUCAAACGCGGUGAUGGACCCAUUGCUCUGGUUCUCGCUCCAACAAGAGAGUUGGCUCAGCAGAUCCAACAAGUAGCCACUGAUUUCGGAAAUGCUUCAUAUGUGCGUAACACUUGUGUGUUUGGUGGUGCUCCUAAGAGAGAGCAAGCUCGUGACUUGGAGCGUGGUGUGGAGAUUGUUAUUGCCACACCUGGUAGAUUGAUUGAUUUCCUGGAAAGGGGCACCACCAACCUUCAAAGGUGCACUUACCUGGUCUUGGAUGAAGCUGACCGCAUGUUAGACAUGGGUUUUGAACCUCAGAUUAGAAAAAUCAUUGAACAAAUUCGCCCAGACAGACAGACCCUUAUGUGGUCUGCCACAUGGCCUAAAGAAGUAAAAAAGCUGGCUGAGGACUAUCUUGGAGACUAUGUUCAGAUCAACAUUGGAUCACUUCAGCUUUCUGCUAAUCAUAACAUUCUGCAGAUCAUUGAUGUAUGUCAGGAACAUGAAAAGGAAAACAAACUGAAUGUACUUUUACAAGAAAUUGGACAAAACCAGGAUCCUGGAGCAAAGACCAUAAUAUUUGUUGAAACCAAAAGGAAAGUUGAGAAUAUCACUAGAAAUAUUAGGCGCUAUGGCUGGCCAGCUGUAUGUAUGCAUGGAGACAAGACACAGCAAGAGAGAGAUGACGUUUUAUAUCAGUUCAAGCAAGGCCGUGCCAGUAUUUUAGUAGCAACUGAUGUUGCUGCCAGAGGACUUGAGGCACUGGCGGCAUGUUAUUGUGUUCUAUCUGAAUACUGCCAUAAAUUAGAUGGCAUGUUACUGCACUGGAUUUGUAGAUAAGACAGAUGCAGUGGUAUUUCCAUUGAGAAUGCAAUAACUCGUCAUUAUAAUGGUGCCUCAGUAGUGCCUUUCACUGUGAUUGGACCCGAGGCCGGAAGCUUGAUGGUAUGUCCGUGAUUAUUGCGGAUGCACUUGAAAGUUGAUGAAAACCUGGUGAUGCACUACGUGGUAUUUUAAUUCAAAGAUCGAUUCAUAAUGGUGCAUUGUUGAAAAACUUGACCCCAGUUAAGAUGAUCUGCAAAUGGUCAAGGGUUUUCUGUUUCGGCCGGAUUGGAGUUGUGGGCUAUGUGAACAUCUAUGACAGUCUUAAAUUGAAUGCCCUAUCAAGACUCCUGGGUUCCGAGUGAGAGGCAACUGGAUUUUUGUACAUAGCUGUUGUGUAACUCAUCCAUAUGUUGAUGGUAUUAAAUAUGUAAUCAACUUUGAUUACCCCAACUCUUCUGAGGACUACAUCCAUCGGAUAGGCAGAACUG